rnacentral:rRNA from 1 species
CACAAAACCAGGUGCGAAAGCUUGACGGAACAUACCGCGUGAGGGAGGAAGGCUCUUGGGUCGUAAACCUCUUUUCUCAAGGAAGAAAAAAGUGACGGUACUUGAGGAAUAAGCAUCGGCUAACUCCGUGCCAGCAGCCGCGGUAAUACGGAGGAUGCAAGCGUUAUCCGGAAUGAUUGGGCGUAAAGGGUCUGCAGGUGGAACUGAAAGUCUGCUGUUAAAGAGUUUGGCUUAACCAAAUAAAAGCGGUGGAAACUACAGAACUAGAGUGCGGUAGGGGCAAAAGGAAUUCCUGGUGUAGCGGUGAAAUGCGUAGAUAUCAGGAAGAACACCGGUGGCGAAAGCGUUUUGCUAGACCGUAACUGACACUGAGGGACGAAAGCUAGGGGAGCGAAUGGGAUUAGAUACCCCAGUAGUCCUAGCCGUAAACGAUGGAUACUAGGCGUGGCUUGUAUCGACCCGAGCCGUGCCGGAGCUAACGCGUUAAGUAUCCCGCCUGGGGAGUACGCACGCAAGUGUGAAACUCAAAGGAAUUGACGGGGGCCCGCACAAGCGGUGGAGUAUGUGGUUUAAUUCGAUGCAACGCGAAGAACCUUACCAAGGCUUGACAUCCUGCGAAUCCUGGUGAAAGCUGGGAGUGCCUUAGGGAGCGCAGAGACAGGUGGUGCAUGGCUGUCGUCAGCUCGUGUCGUGAGAUGUUGGGUUAAGUCCCGCAACGAGCGCAACCCUCGUUUUUAGUUUGCCAGCAUUAAG